rfam:Actinomyces sp. VTL4_3, complete genome.
GGAAGCGUGUCCGAGCGGCCGAAGGUGCAACACUCGAAAUGUUGUGAGGUGUCACAGCCUCCGGGGGUUCAAAUCCCUCCGCUUCCG